rnacentral:rRNA from 1 species
UUCUGGUUGAUCCUGCCGGAGGCUACCGCUAUUGGAGUUCGAUUAAGCCAUGCGAGUCGCGAGAAAUUAGAUUCUCGGCGUACCGCUCAGUAACACGUGGGUAACCUGCCCUAUGCUGGAUAAUAACCUCGGGAAACUGAGAAUAAUGAUCCAUAGUUCACUACGCCUGGAACGGUGAGUGGAUGAAAGCUCCGGCGGCAUAGGAUGGGCCUGCGGCGUAUCAGGUUGUAGGGGGUGUAACGUACCCUCUAGCCCUCUACGCGUACGGGUGUUGGGAGACAUAGCCCGGAGAUGGAUUCUGAGACACGAAUCCAGACCCUACGGGGUGCAGCAGGCGCGAAAACUUGGCAAUGCGAGAAAUCGUGACCAGGGAACUCCAAGUGCAUCGGGUAAGACCGGUGCUUUUCUUGACUCUAAAUAGGUCUUGGAAUAAGGGGUGGGUAAGGACGGUGCCAGCCGCCGCGGUAAUACCGGCGCCUCAAGUGGUAGUCGCUUUUAUUGGGCCUAAAACGUCCGUAGCCGGUCUGAUACAUUCGUGGGUAAAUCAACCAGCUCAACUGGUUGAAUUCUGCGAGGACGGUCAGACUUGGGACCGGGAGAGGUGUGGGGUACGCUCAGGGUAGGGGUAAAAUCCUGUCAUCCUGAGCGGACCACCUGUUGCGAAGGCGCCACACUAGAACGGAUCCGACGGUCAGGGACGAAGCCUAGGGGCACGAACCGGAUUAGAUACCCGGGUAGUCCUAGGUGUAAACGCUGUGGACUUG